rnacentral:tRNA from 1 species
AGCAGCGUGGCUCGGUGGAAAGAGCACGGGCUUUGGAGCCGGAGAUCACGGGUUCGAAUCCCGGCUCUGCCC